AGCGAACGCUGGCGGCAGGCCUAACACAUGCAAGUCGAACGGACCCUUCGGGGUUAGUGGCGGACGGGUGAGUAACACGUGGGAACGUGCCUUUAGGUUCGGAAUAGCUCCUGGAAACGGGUGGUAAUGCCGAAUGUGCCCUUCGGGGGAAAGAUUUAUCGCCUUUAGAGCGGCCCGCGUCUGAUUAGCUAGUUGGUGAGGUAAUGGCUCACCAAGGCGACGAUCAGUAGCUGGUCUGAGAGGAUGACCAGCCACAUUGGGACUGAGACACGGCCCAAACUCCUACGGGAGGCAGCAGUGGGGAAUCUUGCGCAAUGGGCGAAAGCCUGACGCAGCCAUGCCGCGUGGAUGAUGAAGGUCUUAGGAUUGUAAAAUCCUUUCACCGGUGAAGAUAAUGACUGUAGCCGGAGAAGAAGCCCCGGCUAACUUCGUGCCAGCCGCCGCGGUAAGAC
rnacentral:rRNA from 1 species